CCUACGGGAGGCAGCAGUGGGGAAUAUUGCGCAAUGGGCGAAAGCCUGACGCAGCGACGCCGCGUGAGGGAUGAAGGUCUUCGGAUCGUAAACCUCUGUCAGCAGGGAAGAACGGUCACUGUGCUAAUCAGCAGUGAAUUGACGGUACCUGCAAAGGAAGCACCGGCUAACUCCGUGCCAGCAGCCGCGGUAAUACGUAGGGUGCGAGCGUUAAUCGGAAUUACUGGGCGUAAAGCGCUCGUAGGCGGUAUGUCAAGUCAAGGGUGAAAUCCCCGCGCUCAACGUGGGAACUGCCUUUGAAACUGGCAAACUGGAGUGUGUGAGAGGAUAGUGGAAUUCCAGGUGUAGGAGUGAAAUGCGUAGAUAUCUGGAGGAACAUCAGUGGCGAAGGCGACUAUCUGGCACAUAACUGACGCUGAGGAGCGAAAGCGUGGGUAGCAAACAGGAUUAGAUACCCGGGUAGUC
rnacentral:rRNA from 1 species